GUCACCUACGGGAGGCAGCAGUGGGGAAUAUUGCACAAUGGGGGGAACCCUGAUGCAGCGACGCCGCGUGAGUGAGGAAGUAUUUCGGUAUGUAAAGCUCUAUCAGCAGGGAAGAAAAUGAUGGUACCUGACUAAGAAGCCCCGGCUAACUACGUGCCAGCAGACGCGGUAAUACGUAGGGGGGCAGCGUUAUCCGGAUUUACUGGGUGUAAAGGGCGCGUAGACGGAGGAGCAAGUCUGAUGUGAAAAUCCGGGGCCCAACCCCGGAACUGCAUUGGAAACUGUUUAUCUAGAGUGUCG
rnacentral:rRNA from 1 species